GACGAACGCUGGCGGCGUGCUUAACACAUGCAAGUCGAACGGAAAGGCCCUGCUUUUGUGGGGUGCUCGAGUGGCGAACGGGUGAGUAACACGUGAGUAACCUGCCAUUGACUUUGGGAUAACUUCAGGAAACUGGGGCUAAUACCGGAUAGGAGCUCCUGCUGCAUGGUGGGGGUUGGAAAGUUUCGGCGGUUGGGGAUGGACUCGCGGUUUAUCAGCUUGUUGGUGGGGUAGUGGCUUACCAAGGCUUUGACGGGUAGCCGGCCUGAGCGGGUGACCGGCCAAAUUGGGACUGAGAUACGGCCCAGACGCCUACGGGAGGCAGCAGUGGGGAAUAUUGCACAAUGGGCGGAAGCCUGAUGCAGCAACGCCGCGUGCGGGAUGACGGCCUUCGGGUUGUAAACCGCUUUCGCCUGUGACGAAGCGUGAGUGACGGUAAUGGGUAAAGAAGCACCGGCUAACUACGUG
rnacentral:rRNA from 1 species